CUGUGAGGGGAAACUCUGUUCCUUUGGCUCCUUGGGUCCUUGUCAGGGGAGUAUAACUUCAAAUUCAUGGCUUCUCAAGGCUUACAAAAAUCCUUGGCUGAAGAAAAUAGCUUUUAUAGAGAAUUGCCUGAAGGCUAUGAAGACCAUUUUUUUUUUUUAAAUCUUGACAUGCUAAUAUUUAUUUUUGGAUUAAGUUCAGAUUGUGAGAGAGCUAUAUGUACCUGGAGACUUUGCUUGGGACCCCCGCAGGGACUUGAUUUCACUGACUGAACUUUGGAAUGAUUAAUCUGGCCUGCAUUGAGGGAUGUUAUUGAAAACACAAACACACAUAAACAGAGUCAGAUUUACUGUGUUGUUGGACUACACUUGACGGUACAGUUGUCUGUGAUCUCUGAGUGGACGGGUGACUUUGUUUUACGAACCCUGUCAGCCACGUCACUGUGUGGACACUCUUCUUGGGACAGACUUUUAGGUCCUCUGAGCAACAUUUUUACUGUCUUAUAGGGGAUAUAUUUUAAUGCAUGGGCCUCAAAUUUGUUUCAAUCUAUUCUCCCCAUUCUCUUUCCCCAAAUGUAUUCCUUUGCAGUUCUAAGAAGUUGUGGGUAUGAUUUUUGGUUAAGUUAUAAAGUUUAUUUUCCUCAGUGAAACAGGAUAUGUGGAAAUAGAUUAAUUAAAAAAAUAAAAAAAUCUCAUGUUUGUUGUGGAAAAAUUAGACAACAUGUACAGUUUCUCAUGUAGGUGGUAAUCAUGAUUUCUAUAGACAGUGAUGCUGAUAACGAUUUUAACCUGAGUCUACUGAAACAGAAGCGGUCUUAGGCGUGGAUGGAAUGCGUGGACAUCAUAAGACACAGCUUUGAAGAAUGUGACAGCAUCCCUUUCUACUCCACAGUAUCUCCUUGGAAAUUCUACCACUGUAGAGUCAGGACCUUAAUGAAAAGUCACCCUUUCAAAAUACAAAUAUACCUGUUAAGGGUUAAUUCCUUGGAAACAGAAUCAGAUGUGAAAACUAAUGUGACACUUAGCUCUGGGAGGAACACGAUGCUAAUUUAGGUAGAAUAUUUGUUUCAGUUGAGUACAACUGAAUUAGCUCACUAGAAAGUCUCCUUUCUUUUAAUUAAUUCCACAAGUUUGCAUUUAAUGCAUUCAUUCAUACAGCCAACAUGUAGUAAGCACUUACUUUGUGCCAAGGACUAAGCAGUGAGGAAAUGAUGGAGAGUAGAGAGACAAUCACAACCCUGAAUAAAGUUAAAGAAAAUGCCAAAGAUAAUCCCAUGACUAGUAAUAAAUACUGUAAGUACACUCCCCAGAGAUUGUCCUGAACCCACAUAGACACUCCAAACAUAUUUAAUCCAUACCAGUUAAAAAGUAGAAGAAUAUUAAAUAUUCUUAAUAUUUAAAACAAUUCUAUUGUCUGUUACCUGUUUUCCCCAUUUUACAUUUUCAUGUCAAUAUAUUAAUUUCUCCAUCAACAUUUAGAAGGGUUGCUUAUUAUUUUCACUCUCUCUAUAUUUUAAUAAAUCAUUUUUUUAUUAGUCAUGAAGAUUUUCACUAGUUUUUUUAAUUAUAAACAAGUCUGUGCUAAUAUCUGUGUUCUCCCAAGCACGCUAAAACAUUUAUUUCUUAUGAAUAAAUUCAUAGCAGCAAAGACGCAAAGCCAUCGGUAUGAAUAUUUUAAAUCCCUUGUCAUUUACUGCAAAAUUAUUCCAUAGAAAGGACAUAUCAAUUUUCAUUCUCACCAUCAAGGCUGUAUAGGAGUGUUCGUUUCUCUAUAACCCGAGUAACAAUGGGGAUCUUUUUUUCAAACCUUUGCCUUCUUGUAGCAGGAAACAAAAUCUUAAUUUGCAUUUCUUUGAAAAUUUGCAUUUGUACAAUUACUUUUAAGACUGAAAAAUUUUAAAAUAUUAUUAUUGGCAAUUUGCCUCUUUUUGUAACAUGUAAAUUUUCUGCUCAAGGCUACUGUCAUUUUUCUUCACUUUUCCUUUCUCCUCUCUGUUUCUAACACACCAAGAGUAUAGUCACAGCGUUUAUCUUUUUAAUGUACACUUAUAACUAUAAAGAUCAAUGUAACAUGUAUAUAAAUGGUAUAGCAUAGUAGCAAAAUGAAUAUUCAGGAAUCAGAACUCUUAUCUCUUCUGUUGCAUCCAUGUGCUCCUCCCUCACCCCACCCACUUACCUAUCCCAUUUAACACUAGGAGAUAGCUGUUAUCUUGAAUUUGGUCUUUAUUAUUCCCUUAAAUUUUUUUAAUGUGUAGUUUUAUUACAAACAUGCAUUUUUUCUAAACAAUGUUGCUUUUAGAUUUAUAAUAAUGUUAGCAUCCUGUACAUAGCCUUAAAAAAUUGACUUUUAUUUUAGUCAAUAUUAUGUUUCUAUGAUCUAUCCAUGUUGUGGCCUAUAACUUCAUUUUCAUCAAUGAAAACUACUGAAUUUGGUGAAUAUGUAUUCAUCUGCUCACAGAUAGUUGGAUGGUAUCUGAUUUCUACUAUUUAUAAAGAGUGCCACUAUGGCCAUUCUUAAACAUGAAUCCUGGAAUCCCUGUUAAAGAGUUUCUCCAGGAUAGUACCUAGAGACAAACUGCUUGGUCAUUAGAAAUCUGAAUGUCACAAUUAUAGGAUAAUAAAAAGACAUUUGUAGGCUAACUACACUAAUUUAGACUCUCGCCAGCAAUAUAUCCCAGAGUAUCUUAUCUGUUGGUCGACAUCCUGUCCAACACUUGGUAUUGUCACCACAUUUCUUCAUUUUUGCAACUUAGUGAAUAUAAAGUGACAUUUCAAGGUGGUCUUGAUUUGCAUUUCCUUAAUUAUUUGUUUGAGGUUGAUAUGGGACAUUGAAUUUUUUAAGCAAAAUGAAGCCUAAUGACUCUGUCUGGUUUGGAUUGUCUUUUCUUCUGAUGCGUAUUCUGUUUCUGCUGGUUGUGUUCGCAACUGGAGUGCUGGUCCCCAGCAUUAAGCCCUGUCUUUUCCAUUUCUCCACAGAACUCGGUUUAUCCACUUCUGGAUACACAUCUGUUUUCCAUUCUCAAAGUGGGGAUUGAAAAAUUGUGAUGAAUACGAAAGAGAUGCUCACCUUUGCAGCAAUAUUUAUGUAAUGUAUAUAUACUUAAAUUGAUUAGGGGGAUUCAGAUUCAAACUAGGCAAUAUUAAUAGUGGCACAAGCAUACUUUGAGUUGUUAUUUGGCUUUGGUUCUGGAAUAAGAUUUCUUUUGAAGAAGAAAUGAAAACCAAAUCUUGAAGCUUCCUCAAGGAGAUGAGGGCAUGAGUCAUGGAUGCUGUGAGGUCCCUUCGAGUCUCACAGAUGACCAUCAGAAACCACAGAAACCCCUGUUUUGUUACUUAUUCCAUCAAGCCACUCUGAUAAAAGGAGUUUAUUAAGUAUGGGAAGGGUAGCUUUCUUUUUAGCCACGUGGUCAUCAUUCGAGCUGUUUAUGCGUAAAACGUCAAGAUUGAUUUUUUUUCUGUAGGUAUCUUAUUUUGGAUUGGCCAACUUCAUAACCAUUAAGCAAUUCAUGUUAAGACCCUUGGUAUUAAUAGACAGCGAAAACCAUCAUGGUUGAGAAAUGUAUGUUAUUACAAAGAUCCCAGAAAUUAAAUCAAGCAUUAUUAGAGAUUGUUUAUGGAGACAGAGUGACCUGCAGAGUCUGCAGCCCCAGGAGAGGAGGGCUCAACCUUUGUCUGGGUUCGCUGGCUCUGAAGGGAGUGUGCCUGUGAACACAACCUCAGAUACACACGUGGUAUUCAGAUGUCAACUCUGUAGUCAGUACAAGUUACUCCACAGGCCAUGGU
rnacentral:lncRNA from 1 species